GUUUCUGUAGCGUAAUGGAUAGCACGUUGGGCUUCUAAUCCAAAGGUCGUGGGUUCAAACCCCACCAGGAAUG